AUUGAACGCUGGCGGCAUGCCUUACACAUGCAAGUCGAACGGCAGUACGGGCUUCGGCCUGGUGGCGAGUGGCGAACGGGUGAGUAAUACAUCGGAACGUGCCCUGUCGUGGGGGAUAACUAGUCGAAAGAUUAGCUAAUACCGCAUACGACCUGAGGGUGAAAGCGGGGGACCGGUAACGGCCUCGCGCGAUAGGAGCGGCCGAUGUCUGAUUAGCUAGUUGGUGGGGUAAGAGCCUACAAAGGCGACGAUCAGUAGCUGGUCUGAGAGGACGAUCAGCCACACUGGGACUGAGACACGGCCCAGACUCCUACGGGAGGCAGCAGUGGGGAAUUUUGGACAAUGGGGGCAACCCUGAUCCAGCAAUGCCGCGUGUGCGAAGAAGGCCUUCGGGUUGUAAAGCACUUUUGUCCGGAAAGAAAUCGCGCUGGUUAAUACCUGGCGUGGAUGACGGUACCGGAAGAAUAAGCACCGGCUAACUACGUGCCAGCCGCCGCAGUAACAC
rnacentral:rRNA from 1 species